UACGGAGGGUGCAAGCGUUGUUCGGAAUCACUGGGCGUAAAGGGUGCGUAGGCGGGUCUUUAAGUCAGGGGUGAAAUCCUGGAGCUCAACUCCAGAACUGCCUUUGAUACUGAAGAUCUUGAGUUCGGGAGAGGUGAGUGGAACUGCGAGUGUAGAGGUGAAAUUCGUAGAUAUUCGCAAGAACACCAGUGGCGAAGGCGGCUCACUGGCCCGAUACUGACGCUGAGGCACGAAAGCGUGGGGAGCAAACAGG
rnacentral:rRNA from 1 species